rnacentral:lncRNA from 1 species
CCAUCCGCGAGGACGGAGAUGGCGGUGCUGCAGUGAGCGGGGCUAACUUCUCAUUGCCGAAUUGGGCAUCCUGUAUUAGAGGAUUUGAAGCCCUUGAUGGCGGAGAUCCGGAGAAAUACGGUGGCGACGAAGCCACUUGGUUGCCAGUCUUUUCUGUACCGUAGCCUCCCUAAAAUCACACAGCCGCAAAGAUUUAGUAGCAGUAAUAAUAAUAAUAACUGAAGCUGUGAGAAUCAUCCAACAAGAUAGACAGAAUAUUAAAAAAAAAAACAAAAUUGGGGGAGCUGAGAGAAAAUUUAUGGACCUUGGUGAGAAUUAAAUCCAGAAGUUCAGUCCCAGCUUUUGAAUCUCCAAACUCACUACAGAAAUAAAAAAUAAAAUAAAAAUUAGAACAUAAAGCGUGAAGGAUUAAAAGAAAAAUUGAAAACUUACGACGGAAAAUAAAACUUACCUAGCUGGCCUUUUCAAAGGUCUAAUGGAAUCGUUAAUCGGAGGAUUUAUGAGGCCUAAUCUCCUUGGCUUAGGGCAAAUCAUUGAACCCAUCCUCCUCUCUUCAUCACAGCCUCCUCCCAAUCCCAUAGCGGCGCAGCGGUUCAUUUUUUUUCCGUUUUCACGAAUCAAUUACCCGAAACGCCGUCGUCUAGUCACCAAAAACAAAAUUUGAAAAACAAAAAAAAUAC